GGGAACAUGGCUCAGUGGUAGAGUGCUUGCCUAGCAUGCAUGAAGCCUUGGGUUCAAUUCCUCUGUACCAC
rfam:Dipodomys ordii contig_18698, whole genome shotgun sequence.